GCCUGGGUGGCUCAGUUGGUUAAGCAUCUGAUUUCAGCUCAGGUCAUUAGUUCAUGGUCUGUGGGUUCCAGCCCCGCCUCGGGCU
rnacentral:tRNA from 1 species